rnacentral:lncRNA from 1 species
GUUCAUAUUAAUACAACUCCCUGUUGUACAUAGCAUAGCAGAAGAAGCAACGGGCUUUUGUGUUGAACUGAGAGUUUGAGCAAAGUCAGCAAAGUCAGUAGCACUCUGUUUCCUCCUUAGGACAAGGCUCUGAGACCGAAACUUCUUCCUGUUGUUUUAUAAAACAAACUCCACCUUUGACCUCUCACCUUUGGCUUCUCACCUGCUCUAUGCUUGCAAGACAGGGCACGGCGGAGAUCCGACAACUUCAGACCUUCACCCAGAAAUUCAAGUUGUUCUUCUCGGUGAAGGCCGUUUGUCCCUGGUUGAAUGCCACCCAGGUGUUGACAACCCAAGGGAAUCCACAGAGCGCACCAUGGCCAAGAAAGUGGCAGUGAUUGGAGCUGGAGUGAGUGGCCUGUCCUCAAUCAAGUGCUGCUUGGACGAGAACCUGGAGCCUACCUGUUUUGAGAGGAGUAGUGACUUCCAAAAUUUAUUGUGAAUGAUGAACUACCAACUUGUAUCCUCUGUGGGAAAAUCACCAUGAAAACCAGCGUGAAGGAUUUUACAGAAUCCUCUAUCGUCUUUGAAGAUGGGACAAUAGAAGCCAACAUUGAUGUAGUGAUCUUCACUACAGGAUAUGAAUUUUCUUUUCCCUUUUUUGAAGAGCCUCUCAAAAGCCUUUGCACAAAGAAGGUCAUACUAUACAAGCGAGUGUUUCCCCCAAAUUUGGAGAGAUCAACAUUAGCCAUCAUUGGCCUGAUCAGCCUUACUGGGUCUAUCUUAGUGGGCACAGAGUUCCAAGCACGGUGGGCCACGAGAGUAUUCAAAGGUAUGUCGGCUUUAUUUAAACACAGAUGCCAGCAAUUGAAUCUUAAAAUUAGUGCCUGCCGUUUACCUAAAGCCAAACAGAUGUGAGCUAAAAUAAAAUAAAAUACUAGCAGCAU